rnacentral:rRNA from 1 species
UACAGAGGUCCCGAGCGUUGUUCGGAUUCACUGGGCGUAAAGGGUGCGUAGGUGGCAUGUUAAGUUUGAUGUGAAAGCUCAGGGCUCAACCCUGAAAUGGCAUUGAAUACUAGCGUGCUGGAGGUUUGGAGGGGGGGACUGGAAUUCUCGGUGUAGCAGUGAAAUGCGUAGAUAUCGAGAGGAACACCAGUGGCGAAGGCGAGUCCCUGGACAACACCUGACACUGAGGCGCGAAAGCUAGGGGAGCAAACAGG